rnacentral:lncRNA from 1 species
UUUUUUUUUUUUUUUCCUAACUUUUAUUUUAGGUUUAGGAGUACAUGUGCAGGAUUGUUCUAUAGGCAGAUUGCAUGUUGUGGGGGUUUGGUAUACAGAUUAUUUAGUCACCCAAGUAAUAAGUGUAGUAGCUGAGAGGUACUUUUUUUGAUUCUCUCUCUUCUCCCAGUCUCCAUCCUCAAGUGGGCUCUUGUGUGUGUUGUUGCCCUCUUUGUGUCCAUGUGUUCUCAUUGUUUAGCUCCCACUUACAAGUGAGACACACAAAAAAUUAACUAGGGCUUGGUACUCUGUCAUGGCAGCAGAAAAUAGACUAAGAAAUCACUUAAUAAUUUCUGGCGUAAAUUUGGCACUCAAUAAGUAACUAUCAAUGAACAAAUGGAUGAUAUUUUGUUGUGAAUCCCCCCCUAAAAUUUUUUAGAAAUAUAUUUACUAUUUAAAGCAGCUGCCUCCUUACAUUGAUGAUAUUUAAGAUGACAAAGGUGGUGAUAUUGACAAAAACCCUGUGUCUAGGCCAUCUUAUGAUGUGGUUGUGGGAUUAGAGUGUUUAAUUGGCAAUCUUAACCAUAGAAAUGUCCAUUUUCCUUUAUAUCUUCCUCUUUUUUUUUGCCCCACUAGCAAAACACUAACAAUUAGUAUGAGUGUCUCCCAUGUAUGGUCCACUGUACAUUACUGGAGAGAAGCUUCUGAAGGGACUCAUGGCAACCAAUUGACCAACCAGCAUAUCUUCUCCUUGGCUCUGUACUCAGGUCUGUGCUAGAGCUGGGUGACAGAAACAGUUUAGUGGGUCUUGAUUUCUGCCCUCAGUGAGCUUUGACUAAUUGGAGACAGUAAAUUUUUAUUUAAUUAAAAUUAAAAGGGAGGAAGGUUUUCAAGGUCCAAGGAUAGCAUGAGUUUGUAACUGAAGGCAGUAGGAUGAAAGGUGUGCUCUGGUACCAAUAAGCAGGGGUGUCAAUAAUAGUAUCUGGGUGGCAGGAUAUGUGGGGGUGAUUAUUAAUCUAUUCUUUCUAUAUUCCCAUAGUUUCUAAAUUAUUUUUACGAUUUUAAAGUUGAUUGAAAAAGAAUCCUAAAUGGUUACUGUUGCAGUAUGGAAGGUUUUUUUUUAUUUUGGUUGGAGUAAGCUCAUAUGCAGAAUGGCCACCCAACCAGUUAUUUCUCUAGUUCAGGAGAUAGGCAAAGGCCAGUCUGUGGCAUGUGCAGUGGCAUAGGGAGGAGCAGAUAGCUGUAUCACACGCAGAGUCACUCUGUUAUCAGAAUCUCAGUCCAAUCUGGGUCUGGAAUUUUCUCUACAUAGACUCUUCUCAGUUUGACACUAGGGAAAGCUGUCUUUAUUUCCCUGUUGGUACUUGAGCCAUUUCCCCAAAAUUUUCCUGAGUCAUAGGCCCUCUGAUGGCCAGAGGAUUAAGCUUGGAAAGGAAGCAGAUAUUCUGGUUGGAUCUUGAGG